GAUGAACGCUGGCGGCGUGCCUAAUACAUGCAAGUCGAGCGAACAGAUAAGGAGCUUGCUCCUUUGACGUUAGCGGCGGACGGGUGAGUAACACGUGGGUAACCUACCUAUAAGACUGGAAUAACUCCGGGAAACCGGGGCUAAUGCAGGAUAACAUGUUGAACCGCAUGGUUCUACAGUGAAAGGCGGCUUUGCUGUCACUUAUAGAUGGACCCGCGCCGUAUUAGCUAGUUGGUGAGGUAACGGCUCACCAAGGCAACGAUACGUAGCCGACCUGAGAGGGUGAUCGGCCACACUGGAGCUGAGACACGGUCCAGACUCCUACGGGAGGCAGCAGUAGGGAAUCUUCCGCAAUGGGCGAAAGCCUGACGGAGCAACGCCGCGUGAGUGAUGAAGGUCUUCGGAUCGUAAAACUCUGUUAUUAGGGAAGAACAAAUGCGUAAGUAACUGUGCGCGUCUUGACGGUACCUAAUCAGAAAGCCACGGCUAACUACGUG
rnacentral:rRNA from 1 species